GAUGAACGCUGGCGGCGUGCCUAAUACAUGCAAGUCGAACGCUGGAGAUCUAGCUUGCUAGAUCGAAGGAGUGGCGAACGGGUGAGUAAUACAUAAGCAACCUACCCACGAAGACUGGGAUAAUCUCUGGAAACGGGGACUAAUACCGGAUAGGUAAUCGGAAGGCAUCUUCUGAUUAUUAAAGGUUAAAAACACUGGUGGAUGGGCUUAUGGCGCAUUAGUUAGUUGGUGAGGUAACGGCCCACCAAGACGAUGAUGCGUAGCCGGCCUGAGAGGGUGAACGGCCACAUUGGGACUGAGACACGGCCCAGACUCCUACGGGAGGCAGCAGUAGGGAAUUUUCGGCAAUGGGGGAAACCCUGACCGAGCAACGCCGCGUGAGUGAUGACGGCCUUCGGGUUGUAAAGCUCUGUUGUAAGGGAAGAACGGUAGAUAGAGAAUAUCUAAGUGACGGUACCUUACCAGAAAGCCACGGCUAACUACGUGCCAGCAGCCGCGGUAAUACGUAGGUGGCGAGCGUUAUCCGGAAUUAUUGGGCGUAAAGGGUGCGUAGGCGGCCUGUUAAGUAAGUGGUUAAAUUGUUGGGCUCAACCCAAUCCAGCCACUUAAACUGGCAGGCUAGAGUAUUGGAGAGGCAAGUGGAAUUCCAUGUGUAGCGGUAAAAUGCGUAGAUAUAUGGAGGAACACCAGUGGCGAAGCGGCUUGCUAGCCAAAGACUGACGCUCAUGCACGAAAGCGUGGGGAGCAAAUAGG
rnacentral:rRNA from 1 species